rnacentral:rRNA from 1 species
UACGUAGGGGGCAAGCGUUGUCCGGAAUUACUGGGCGUAAAGUGUGCGCAGGCGGCCGCGCAAGUCGAGUGUGAAAGCCCCGAGCUUAACUUGGGAACUGCGCUCGAAACUACGUGGCUGGAGUGUGGCAGAGGAAGGUGGAAUUCCAGGUGUAGCGGUGAAAUGCGUAGAGAUCUGGAGGAACACCGAUGGCGAAGGCAGCCUUCUGGGCCAACACUGACGCUCAUGCACGAAAGCGUGGGGAGCAAACAGG